UCUGCUAAAGAGGAGGAAGGAAUGGGCAACGGUAGGUCAGCAUGCCCCGAAUUAUCUGGGCUACACGCGGGCUACAAUGGGUGGGACAAUGGGUAUCGACACCGAAAGGUGAAGGCAAUCUCCUAAACCCAUCCGUGGUUCGGAUUGUGGGCUGCAACUCGCCCACAUGAAGCUGGAAUCUGUAGUAAUCGUGUCUCAAAAUGGCACGGUGAAUAUGUCCCUGCUCCUU
rnacentral:rRNA from 1 species